UAAGUCGCAGAGGCAAAGAGUCAGACUCAAGACAAGGCGAGAGAUUGGGGACGGAGGUGGCUGCCCAGCGAAGGAUUUGGAAGUCAGAAAUGUAGAGAAUCAGAGCCAUGCUAGCUUUGUUGCAAGCCCAGCAGUGAACGGGGACCCAAGAAACAAGGAUGGAAACACAGUGGAGCGGAAUUGCUGAUGAGACCCUGGUAGAGUUACCAGGUUUUACCGUCCUAACCUCAACCUUAGGCACCUGCUAACUGGUGCACCCCGGUUGUGUGUGUAAGGCCUUAAAGAAUAUA